UACAGAGGGGGCAAGCGUUAUUCGGAAUUAUUGGGCGUAAAGGGCGCGUAGGCGGCUUGGCAGGGGGAGGGGGAAAUCCCUCGGCUUAACCGAGGAACUGCCCUCCAAACUGCUUUGCUUGAGGCCGGGAGAGGUGAGUGGAAUUCCCAGUGUAGCGGUGAAAUGCGUAGAUAUUGGGAGGAACACCGAUAGCGAAGGCAGCUCGCUGGGACGGUACUGACGCUGAGGCGCGAAAGCGUGGGGAGCGAACAGG
rnacentral:rRNA from 1 species